UACGUAGGGGGCAAGCGUUGUCCGGAUUUAUUGGGCGUAAAGAGCGUGUAGGCGGCUUUACAGGUCCGUUGUGAAAACUCGAGGCUCAACCUCGAGACGCCGGUGGAAACCGUAAAGCUAGAGUCCGGAAGAGGAGAGUGGAAUUCCAGGUGUAGCGGUGAAAUGCGUAGAUAUCUGGAGGAACACCGGUGGCGAAGGCGGCAUCCUGGACCGGCAUUGACGCUGAGGCGCGAAAGCGUGGGAGCAAACGGG
rnacentral:rRNA from 1 species